AUACGUAGGUGGCAAGCGUUGUCCGGAAUUAUUGGGCGUAAAGGAUGCGUAGGUGGUCCUUUAAGUGGGAUGUGAAAUCCCUGGGCUUAACCCAGGAAUUGCAUUCCAAACUGGAGGACUAGAGUGCAGGAGAGGAAAGUGGAAUUCCCAGUGUAGCGGUGAAAUGCGUAGAGAUUGGGAGGAACACCAGUGGCGAAGGCGGCUUUCUGGACUGUAACUGACACUGAGGCAUGAAAGCGUGGGGAGCAAACAGGAUUAGAUACCCUGGUAGUCCACGCCGUAAACGAUGGGUACUAGGUGUAGGGGGGACCCCCCUCUGUGCCGCAGUUAACACAUUAAGUACCCCGCCUGGGGAGUACGAUCGCAAGAUUAAA
rnacentral:rRNA from 1 species